UGCAAGUCGAACGCUUCUUUUUCCACCGGAGCUUGCUCCACCGGAAAAAGAGGAGUGGCGAACGGGUGAGUAACACGUGGGUAACCUGCCCAUCAGAAGGGGAUAACACUUGGAAACAGGUGCUAAUACCGUAUAACAAUCGAAACCGCAUGGUUUCGAUUUGAAAGGCGCUUUCGGGUGUCGCUGAUGGAUGGACCCGCGGUGCAUUAGCUAGUUGGUGAGGUAACGGCUCACCAAGGCGACGAUGCAUAGCCGACCUGAGAGGGUGAUCGGCCACAUUGGGACUGAGACACGGCCCAAACUCCUACGGGAGGCAGCAGUAGGGAAUCUUCGGCAAUGGACGAAAGUCUGACCGAGCAACGCCGCGUGAGUGAAGAAGGUUUUCGGAUCGUAAAACUCUGUUGUUAGAGAAGAACAAGGAUGAGAGUAACUGUUCAUCCCUUGACGGUAUCUAACCAGAAAGCCACGGCUAACUACGUGCCAGCAGCCGCGGUAAUACGUAGGUGGCAAGCGUUGUCCGGAUUUAUUGGGCGUAAAGCGAGCGCAGGCGGUUUCUUAAGUCUGAUGUGAAAGCCCCCGGCUCAACCGGGGAGGGUCAUUGGAAACUGGGAGACUUGAGUGCAGAAGAGGAGAGUGGAAUUCCAUGUGUAGCGGUGAAAUGCGUAGAUAUAUGGAGGAACACCAGUGGCGAAGGCGGCUCUCUGGUCUGUAACUGACGCUGAGGCUCGAAAGCGUGGGGAGCAAACAGGAUUAGAUACCCUGGUAGUCCACGCCNNNNACGAUGAGUGCUAAGUGUUGGAGGGGNNNCGCCCCNCCCUGCUGCGGCUA
rnacentral:rRNA from 1 species